GCUGGUGCCACAAGGCGGGGCAGCGCCAGGGUGAUACGGAGAAACGGAGAAGGGCCGUGACCGUGGUACCCAAACAUGCCUGCAGAGAAAGGAGCAGGGCCAGGUUCUCCUCAAACUGCGAAGGCGAAGGCUCGUCUUCAUCCCAGAGGCCCCCGCGAGCCCGUUUUGGGGGCACCCCAGAGCCUGGUCCUUGUCGCCGCUUACAAUCCAUCUGUGGGCAAGGUGGUGCUUGAUAAAGUCCAAGUGGAACUCAUUCCCGUUCUCUCCCUCUGACCCGGAGUUGGCCGAGCAGCCCAGGGCUCUGCCUGUUUCUGCCUCCCCAGUGCUGGGGCUGCGGGUUGAACUCAUGCCUGCACCGCCGACACUUUAGCCGUCCACUCAGUCAUCUCCCCAAUGCCUGGACCUAUAAACGCACAGCUGACUAGGUGAUGGGGGACGCCAGAGGAAGUCUGAGGAAGCAACAAGUAGUCGCCAAGGUGAGAGAGAAAACGGUUUACAAAACUCAAGUUGGAGAGUGCCUGAGGCAGGAUAUGCAGACCCCACCUCUGCAUCCACACACAUCCACAGAUGAGGAAUCCAUCACGUGUCCAACCAUGGAGCUACUUGCAUGGCUACCCAUCUCCCCGGUGUCCCCAGCUGGGGACCACUCUUACCAGAAAGCAAGUAGACCUGGACACUAAUACACGUAGGAGCACAUCUGCCUACCAAGCUCUCACACGGCGGACUACAACCCCAAGUGAAGCCAGGGCUGCGAGAGCUGUGUCAACAGCUAACACCCCAAAGCCAACUGAGGAUCACUCGGGUAACAAACUCGGUGUUUCUGGCGGCGGCUGCCUGAGCUGUGGACACACAAGCAGCCCUCUCCCCCACUGUGACGCCACCACCUUACGUACCCAGUCAACAUCGUUGCUGCAGUCUCUGCUCUUAGAGAAGUAUGAUGGUUCAAUCGCCAAAAACAAAGACCGCAUUUCCCUGCUGUCCCCUCGGCACACAUUGACUAAGCAUAGCUUUGGCUUGUAGUACAUUAGAACGUCAUGAAAAUGGCUGUUAGCAGGGCAGCCACCCAUGUUCCUGUAAGCAGCCCUGACUAAACUCACUAGAACUUAAAAGCGGGACCUGUGCUGAGUUGUGCUGGGGCACAUCUUGAGGCGCCUUGAGGCCGGCCAGCCUGAUCUACAGAGCGAGUUCCGGGACAGCCAGGGCUACACAGAGAAACCCUGUGUGUGUGUGUGUGUGUGUGUGUGCUUAGAGGGACUCAACACGAUCGAUCCAGCACUUAUUACACCAUAUUGGCCUUCCUACAGUACAGCACGUAAUAAAAUGAGGUUGUACUGAAUCUCUAGUGAUGGCCUGUGUACCCGUACUCCAAGGAAAUUGGGCAACCACCAAAACUGGCACAUGGUAUGCACCCAGGCCGAUGUCACUGCAUGUGUGUUAAGACCUGAAGUUCUUAUGCGAC